CAGCCGUAAACGAUGCGCGUUAGGUGUAUCGACGACCACGAGUCGUCGAGGUGCCGAAGGGAAACCGUGAAACGUGCCGCCUGGGAAAUACGGUCGCAAGGCUGAAACUUAAAGGAAUUGGCGGGGGAGCACCACAACAGGUGGAGCCUGCGGUUUAAUUGGACUCAACGCCGGAAAUCUCACCGGAUAAGACAGCAGAAUGAUUGCCGGGCUGAAGACCCUGCAUGACUAGCUGAGAGGUGGUGCAUGGCGUCAGUGACU
rnacentral:rRNA from 1 species